AAGUAAAUAAACUCAUCAAGAUUAUUAAGAUUCAUUAAGAUUGUCUCAUUGUAUACAAAUGAAGCGAGAAGAAGUUGUUGCCAAGCCAAAAGGCAUUGGACUUAAUCAUGGUGCCAAAUCUUUACUUCGCAAUGUGAUCCGUCACACAGAUACGCAUAAUAGGUUCAAAGAAGAAGCUGCAAUGUGGAAUCUACACAAUAAGAUCAAAAGCAGUCAGGCUGACAGCGAUGAUGAAUCAAGAAGAAAAAAAGAGCGAAGAUCCAGAAGUGAUGGAGGACAUUUUUUUAAGGAUCAGGACAUACAAAAUUCAUUUCUGUAUGAUGAAAGGUAAUGUCAUAUUGAACU
rnacentral:sRNA from 1 species